rnacentral:rRNA from 1 species
ACUGAGCUUAGAGUUUGAUCCUGGCUCAGGAUGAACGUUGGCGGCGUGCCUGAGAUAUGCAAGUCGAGCGUCUCAAUUGACCCCGCAAGGGGUUGAUUGGGUAGCGGCGGACGGCUGAGUAACACGUAGGUACCUGCCCCUAUCUCAACCAUAGCCUAGCGAAAGCUGGGGUAAUAGUUGAUAGUCCUCAAUUUGGGGUAAAGGGCAUAACUGCCCGGAUAGGGAGGGGCCUGCGGCCCAUCAGGUAGUUGGUAGGGUAACGGCCUACCAAGCCUAUGACGGGUAGCUGGUCUGGGAGGAUGGUCAGCCAGAGGGGGACUGAGACACGGCCCCCACUCCUACGGGAGGCAGCAAUCAGGAAUAGUCGGCAAUGGGCGAAAGCCUGACCGCGCGACGCCACGUGCGGGAUGAAGCCCUAACGGGUGUAAACCGCUGUGGUAGGAGAUGAAGACCUCCGAUUCGGAGGUUUGACAGUAUCCUACUAGAAAGGGGCCACUAACUGCGUGCCAGAAGCGUCGGUAAUACGUGGGCCCCAAACGUUAUCCGGUUUUACUGGGUGUAAAAGGUCGCGUAGGCGUUCAGGCAAGUUUUACCUCAAAGUCUUCCGCUCAACGGAAGAAAGGGGUAAAAAACUACCUGAAUAGAGUUAUCUUCAGGGGAAUUGGAACUCAGAGAGAAGCAGUGAAAUGCGUUGAUACUCUGUGGAACACCAGUGGCGAAAGCGAAUUCCUGGAAGAUAACUGACGCUGAGGCACGAAAGCUAGGGGAGCGAAGCAGAUUAGAGACCUGCGUAGUCCUAGCCGUAAACGCAUGCUUGCUAGCUGUGCUUUAUUCGCUUUAAGCGUAAUAAGGCGUGGCGAAGGAAACCCGUUAAGCAAGCUACCUGGGGAGUACGGCUGCAAGGCUAAAACUCAAAGGAAUUGGCGGGGAGGCACACAACUAGUGGAACAUGUGGUUCAAUUCGAGACGAACCGAAGAACCCUACCAAGGCUUGACAUCCCGUCGAAGGUGAUCCGAAAGGAUCGCCGUCCGCAAGGACGGCGGGACAGGUGCUGCAUGGCUGUCGUCAGCUCGUUCCGUGAGGAGUGCCCUUAAGUGGGACAACGAGCGCAACUCCCGCUCCGAGUUAAAUCUGUCUCGGAGAACUGCCUCCUGACUUUCAGGGGGAGGAAGGAGGGACAGACGUCAAGUCAGCAUGGCCCUUAUGCCUUGGGCUACACACAUGUUACAAUGGGAGCGACAAAGGGAAGCAAGCUCGCAAGAGCAAGCAAAUCCCUAAAAAGCUCUCUCAGUGGGGAUUGAUGUCUGCAACUCGACAUCAUGAACGCGGAAUUAGUAGUAAUCGCGAAUCAGCCAUGUCGCGGUGAAUACGUUCUUGCCUCUUGCACACACCGCCCGUCAAGCCAACAAAGUCGGGGAUAGUCGAACCCUCCGAUUCGGAGGGGAGAUUAUUCCUGGCGAUGGGGGUUAAGUCGUAACAAGGUAACC